UACCAGUGAGUAUGUUU
rnacentral:piRNA from 1 species